rnacentral:rRNA from 1 species
CUGCGAGUGAAGAGGGAAGAGCUCAAAUUUGAAAUCUGGCAGUGUUUUGCUGUCCGAGUUGUAAUCUAGAGAAGUGCUGCCCGUGCUGGACCAUGUACAAGUCUCCUGGAAUGGAGCGUCACAGAGGGUGAGAAUCCCGUCUUUGACAUGGACUGCCAGUGCAUUUGUGGUGUGCUCUCAAAGAGUCGAGUUGUUUGGGAAUGCAGCUCUAAAUGGGUGGUAAACUCCAUCUAAAGCUAAAUAUUGGCGAGAGACCGAUAGCGAACAAGUACCGUGAGGGAAAGAUGAAAAGAACUUUGGAAAGAGAGUUAAACAGUAUGUGAAAUUGUUGAAAGGGAAACGCUUAAAGUCAGUCGUGUCGGCCAGGGAUCAACUCAGUAUUAUCUGCUGGGUGUAUUUCCUGAUCUGAUGGGCCAACAUCAGUUUUGACUGCUGGAAAAGGACAGAGGGAAUGUGGCACCUUUGGGUGUGUUAUAGCUCUCUGUCGGAUGCAGUGGUUGGGACUGAGGAAAGCAGCAUGCCGCAAGGCCGGGUCGUUUCGACCACGUUCAUGCUGAGGAUGUUGGCAUAAUGGCUUUAAUCGACCCGUCUUGAAACACGGACCAAGGAGUCUAACAUGCCUGCGAGUGUUUGGGUGGCAAACCCGAGUGCGGAAUGAAAGUGAAAGGUUGAGAUCCCUGUCAUGGGGAGCAUCGACGCCCGGACCUGAGCUCUUGCAAAGGAUCUGCGGUAGAGCAUGUAUGUUAGGACCCGAAAGAUGGUGAACUAUGCCUGAAUAGGGUGAAGCCAGAGGAAACUCUGGUGGAGGCUCGUAGCGAUUCUGACGUGCAAAUCGAUCGUCGAAUUUGGGUAUAG